GGUCCCUUAGAUCAGUUGGUUAGAUCGUGGUGCUAAUAACGCCAAGGUGAAUAACUAUUGACAAUCUCAAUUUCGAUUGAUCGCUAACUGUAGUUUAGGUCGCGAGUUCGAUCCUCGUAGGGACCA